UGCUGAGGCCAGUCGAUGGAUGCCUUUCUGUCUUUCCCAAAGACCUCGUGCAAGCCAGCCAUUUUUCCGAAGCUGAGAGCGGGAGAUCCAGUGCACCCAACCCAAGGAUGUCCUGAUGCAGGCGGAUAUGUUUCCUUGUGGCCAGAGUUUUCUGUUCCUGUGGCCGCACUUUGUGGGGUUCUAUGCACAGGAGGAGCAGAACUGUAAUACUGAGUCUGCAAAUCCCACAUCUCAUAUACUUACUAGGCCUUGAACACAUCAUCAUCCCAAUGCCACAGAUAACUUUCGGAGCAACGUCCCGGCGUUCUAGACUCGGUGCCGCAGUUGUAAAGAUUCAGGAACAGUUUGGAACACUAGCGGCCUGACUACCGGCUCAGCCUUUCAGCUUGACUUCUGCUUUGAUAACCGACUGGCAGAGCCCCUUGAGAACACUCUACGCAAAGACUGCGGGCGUCAGCAUAUUCGAUGACAUCUUCUGCAGCUGAGGUGUUCACCUUCCUUCUUUGGUGUCGCACAAAUGUAGCGGCGAACUGGAAACUGGAACUCUAUGCUGUGUUGUGUGUGCUGUGUGCUGAUGCUGAUCUUCUGCCACUGAUUGAGGGUGCCGCAGUUCUCCACUUCUACGAGUAUGCAGUCGGUUUCCAGCUCGGCAAACGAUCCACCGCAGCUCAUAGACUGCUUCAGCCCAAGGGUGUAUCUCGUAUGGACUGCAUCCGAGGCACGCCAAGCACCGAGAGAUACAGACAGAAACAGCGAUUAAUUCGUGUUAUACCCAGAUACCCGAAUAAAGUAAAGCUCCACUCUCUCCACUAAUAUUUAUCCCUAUUAGUUUUGUCAGCUCGUCCCACCAAGCUCGUAGUUAGUCAAUGGCC